GGUGCCAGGUGACUUCUGGGCAGUACCUUUAAAAGAGGGGUAUGUUCUUUGUAACUACAUUCUGGAGUAAGGAUGUGAUGGCUGGAGUUCAGAAGCCGUCUCAGAGCAUGAGAGAGGGCACAGCAGAGAGAUGGGCGGGGAUUGGGUCUCCUAGAGCAGCUUGGGUCUCUUUUCUUUGACUUCUGUCACUUAAAAGAGACAUUAGCUCCUGUCCUGUUCAAGCUGUUCUUACUUUUUUCUGUUCUGCAGAACCAAUUUGUGGUGCCAGCAAAUUACUCCAUUGCUAAAAUUAAUUAUUAUCAUGACACGUUCCUUCUGAUGAUAAGGCUUAGCACUUAGUAUUUUCAUGACAAAGUGAAAGGGCAGAGAGAUUUGUCAUUUGAUUCAUUCCACUCUAAAUUCCAAAUGCUGGAACAGCCGUUGGGUUUCCCUCAGGUUGGCUUGAUCAUGCAGCACUUUCCAAUGACUUUAGCCAGCAUGUUAAAAAACUGUGGUUUUCAUGUCAUAACUAUCUGCACCUCUACAGUAAAAUAAGUCUUUAUUUUUAAAUGUCAAACUCUCAGUGAAAGAGUAAUGCUUUUAAAACUACACCCUGUUAAUUGCUGUAAAAUUGCCCCAGGUGUUCCUCACCACAAAUAUGUUCCCUGGUGCCACCCACCACUUGAUUCCCUCCUCAUGCUCCCUGUGUCCCAGGCUAAAUCCUCAUCAUCCUAGAGAUAAAGCAGACACUUGGGAGAAAGGAUUUGAUUUAAAAUAAGUGGAACUGUAUUCAAGCUAACUUAACUAAAGCAUCAUUUAUUUGUUCAUACUACUGAACAGUCCACUGGACAUAGGUCUCCUGGUUUCCAGCUUUUGCUGGAUAGAGUAGCGUCGUCAGAAAUCUGUUCAUUACAUUCCUUGCUCUCCUCUGUGGGGGCAGGGCUUCUCUGAUUGGUCAACAACGUUGUUCCCAGAAACUAAAGUUUCUCAUAGUCUUUUUUUUUUUUUCUUUUUUCUCCCCCUGCCCCAUACUUUUUUCUUGUCUUUUUUCUUUUUAGGGUAGCACCUGCAGCCUAUGGAAGUUCCCAGGCUAGGAGUCAGUUCCCAGACUGUGGCACCACAGCCACAGCAAUGCCACAUCCAAGCCACGUCUGUGACCUACACCACAGCUCACAGCAAUGCCAGAUCCUUAACCCUCUGAGCAGGGCCAGGGAUGGAACCCACGUCCUGGAUAUUACUUGGGUUCAUAACCCACUGAAACUACAAUGAGAACUCCCCUCCCCAUACAUUUUAAUAUUAGCACUACUACCCCAAAAUGGACUGGUUCUAAUUUGCCUGGUUUAAAACAUGUGCUAACUCCAAACUAACCCCAGAGCUGGGGGGUGGAGUUUUCUGAUUAGUAAGGCCUUGUCCACAGGCUGCCUGUGUAGCCACAGAGACUGCAUGAGAAGACAAUGACAAAAAGAAGAGGGAUUUUAUCUGCAGAAAAGAACGUAUUUAGCAAGAAAAUAUAGCAGGCUUCUACAACUGGGCAAUUCAACUUUAGAAACGAGGACAACUAAUGUGUUACUUUCAGCAUCUUUGAAUCUUUCUAGGUCUCAUCCUUUUCUUCUUAUGACACUUUACAGCUAAUUCUAUUUUACUGCUAAUUCAUUUGUAGUUCAGCUAACAUUAAUUUACAUAGGUUUCUGACUCCUCUAACUUCCCUUCUAAACUUCUGGCUUUUCAACCUAGAGAUAGAUGCAUGAUUGAGAAGAGCAAGCUGUGUAUAAAUGAGGACUUUAAAUUCUUUGCUUUAAAUAGAUAGAAUGGUUGAGUUUAAAAGUUUGGGGGGACAAUGAAGUAGAGAGUGAAAUAGCCCUCAUUUAGGAAGCGCUUUGAGAGAUCAUGAUACUGGGUGCCAGCCACAUGACAACUAGCGUAAAUAGGGUGGGUGAGUUUGUCUAUCACAGGUUUUUAUUUCUCAGGAAUUUCAUCUCCAGUUCAUUCAGAGGCUUCAGUGCGAACCAGGCAGAGGGAGGCAAGGGCAUGAUAAAACCAAGGGUGGAUCAAGAAGGAUUGUUGGCCAGUCAGCCAAAUGCAAGUGGUGCCCUUGGCUUUGACCAAACAGCACCAAGAGCCAUGUGCUCUUGAUGUGGUAUGUGGCAUAAGGCAGCAGACAGGAGGCAGAUCAACGGGUGACCAUGUCAAAGUCCCGAGUUAUGGUGCAGGUCUCCACUCAGCAAUGGAGGAGGUCAGUAUUCCUCUCCCAAGAAUAGGUACUGGCAAAAGCUAGGCAAAACUUUCCACUCUGCAGGGAAUCUCAGGUAUCAGCCCAGAAGCAAAGACAAUCAGUGCACAUGCAUGAAGACCAGGGUGCUGGCUUUGAUCUGGAGCAUGCCAUUGCCAGACAAACCCCGGAUUACGACCUCUGGAGGGUCUGUAGCUGCCAACACCUUGCUGACUGGGAUCACAAUGGAUGAGAACUCAGGGCUGAGUUUUCCAGUUAAAGUUACCAGCUGAGGGAGCCUUCUGAGGAAGAGGAAAAAGAUAAAUCUGAGGCAAUGCUCAGUUUGUUUAUAAUUUAUUUUUGUAUCUUGAAGCACCUACUACAGUGCUGGGCACUGUACUCAAUACAGACAUAAUCAAUUAAAGGGGGGGGUGACAUGAACACACAAGCAUCUUCCCAAUGUGACAACACAUAAAACCAGGGACAAAAGCACAGCCACAGAGGGAAGAAUGCUGGCUGGGCCAUCUCGCUGUGUAAACUUAGUCUGCUUGAUGCAGUGUUCCAAACACACAAGCCAACCAGCUUCAAGGCCACUCCUCCAGAAUCCGCAAAAAGGCUUGUUAAUAUCAACCUGUUCUUUUAGUUCCCGGGUACUGAUGUGAUUUCCUAGGUCUACACGCUAUUAAAUUUAGUCGUUUUUGGAAAGAGAGAGGAGUUAGAGCCACUGGGUAGAAACGUGGGAGUUUUCAGUUCCAGAGCAAAGACAUCUUCAGACCCAUUGCUAUCUAGGAGGAGAACUUUGUCUUUUAAAAUUUUUAUUCUGGGGCAACUUGAGGGUAUUCGCACCCAUUGUAUCUUUCUGGCUCCAACAUAAGGAAAACGCCUUUCCCCCCUUCUAUGCCUAUUUCCCUCUCCAGCAGCAGGUAACCUUGGGUUACAGAGGAACUCCUUCAUGGCUUCUACGGCCACCAGUCAUAUGAGAUUGCUCAGUAGUUUUUGGAACUUCCCAGGAAUCAGAAAAAGUAGGUGUUGCCAGAUUAUCUUGGCCAUCGUUGGACUGACAGAUGUCUCAUCCAGGUUGUCCUCAUGCCCAAGUGGUUAUUGGGAGCCAUGCCAGAGCUCCAGGCUGGUGGUCCAAGGGUACACACAGCCAGAGUGGGCAGCGGGCAGGAGGCAUAGUUGAAUCUGAGCUACACUCGAGUCCAGGCAGGCAGCCAGCCUGAGAGGUAAUCAAAGUUACCUAAGGGGUAAUUUAGGGUAGAAACAGUUUGUAUCCCUUGUAGCAAAGAACAUUCAGGUGGGGGGCAAAAGCAUAUUGAACAGCUCUGUGUGCCCAUGAGUGUCCUUGACCUUAGGGAAAGCUCGGUUGGAGCACAUCAUGAAGUUCUGUAGUCAUAGUCUGAGACCGGCUUGAUUGGUGGUUACUUCCUUUGUUGCCAGAACUCUACGAAAGGGACUCUGUUCCUUUAUGUGGAGCUUAGUUUCUAAAGAAUCACUUUCAAACCAUCCCUCCAUAUACCCCGAGUAGCCAUAAGCUGUAGUCUCAUGAGAGGCUUGGGUCUUAUCUGAAUUAGGGCUGCGGGUGGGGUUGGGUACUACAUCUUUAGGAAGGUGAUGGUGCCGGGAGGAGGUCGUCCUUGUCCACCUGACCGUCCUUCCCCCAGCGAACGCGGUUUCCCCGGGGCAGGCAGGGGCAGUGGCUGCUCUCUGCUCUGCUCUGCUCUGGUAAGAUCUGCAGCUGUGAGCUGGGCAAAUGUCCAGGGUGAGCACUGCUGAUUACACCCUUGACGGUGGUCCAGUUGGCCUUGCAUGAUGCAGGAGCACAUGGGAGAAGGCGGCAGCUCCGGACAGACAUUCUCUCCUCACCCACAUAAAUCCUCAGAGGGUUUCCCUCUGUGGGUUUAUAAAAGCCCAUUAUCUAAUUCAUGACUCAGAGAAUUGAACUUGCUAGCAAGAGGCUAUUUAAGUCACAUUUUGAAUAAUUUCUCAGCAGUUCAUUACAUGGGAAAACAGGUCCUUUUUGUUCUAAUCCUUAGCCUAGGAAUGCAACUUCCCUCUGCCAAAUUCAUUAACAAAACCUGUGUAUAGGGGCCAGCAACUCUGGCCAGUUUCUUAAAUGCACUGAAACUUGCUGAUCAUUGAAAUGUAAAUUUUUACCUUUGGCUGGAAAUGAUUCAUGGGUCUCGGCUUGUAGGAAAUAGCAAUGUCACUUUCAAAGGCCCAGACCAAGUGCCCAGUGUGAGAUGAGGCUUAACGUGUGGCAACCAAGAGAGGGCCACAUGUCAUCUUCCCGACGCAGCAGAAGGGAGGUCUGGUUGUGAAUGUGGGGAACAGCUUGAGGGGGAAAAACGGUCCCCUUGUUGGCAAUCUGGUGUACCAGAGCUCAGAAGAGCCCAACCACAGGACCAGGCUGUUCAGGCUCCUGGUCACAUCAGUUACCAUCCCUCUGAGAAGAGUUCAGGCUUUUGCCACCCCAGGCUGACCGGUGCAGAGUGGUGGGCCGGUUUCUCUACACAGAGGAAGAUCGAGCCGUGGCCAGUGGAAGACCCCAGACCAAGGAAGCUGGUGAAAUGGGUGAGGCGUAAGAAGCCGUCUCAGGAAACAGUGCUGCUUGAUACAAAGCUAGAUGUCCUUGUUACUAAGCAUGUAUUUUUUAAUUUAUAUUAUGUGUAACAUAAGAUAGAGUUAAAUGAUAUUAUUUUGAUAUAUUGAAAAUACUGAAAAUGUUUAAAAUAAAAUAUUAAAACAUUUUUAAAAAUAUACACCUUUUCAAUUUUUUAAUUGUGGUAAAAUACAUCACGCUGGUUCCCGUCAUGGCUCAACGGUUAAUGAACCCAACUAGCAUCCAUGAGGUUGUGGGUUUGAUCCCUGGCCUCGCUCAGUAGGUUAAGGAUCCUGCAUUGCUGUGAGAUGUGGUGUAGGUCGCAGACACGGAUCUGUGUUGCUGUGGCUGUGACACAGGCCGGCUGCUCCAGCUCCGACUUGACCCCUAGCCUGGGAACCUCCACAUGCCGCUGGUGUGGCC
rnacentral:lncRNA from 1 species